rnacentral:rRNA from 1 species
UACGGAGGGUGCAAGCGUUAUCCGGAAUUAUUGGGCGUAAAGGGUCCGCAGGUGGCUAUGUAAGUCUGCUGUCAAAGAAUGAGGCUUAACCUCAUCAAGGCAGUGGAAACUACAUAGCUAGAGUACGGUCGGGGUAGAAGGAAUUCCUGGUGUAGCGGUGAAAUGCGUAGAGAUCAGGAAGAACACCGGUGGCGAAAGCGUUCUGCUAGACCUGUACUGACACUGAGGGACGAAAGCUAGGGGAGCGAAUGGG